rnacentral:rRNA from 1 species
CACGUAGGGCGCAAGCGUUGUCCGGAAUUAUUGGGCGUAAAGGGCUCGUAGGCGGUUUGUCACGUCGGGAGUGAAAACUCAGGGCUUAACCCUGAGCCUGCUUCCGAUACGGGCAGACUAGAGGUAUGCAGGGGAGAACGGAAUUCCUGGUGUAGCGGUGAAAUGCGCAGAUAUCAGGAGGAACACCGGUGGCGAAGGCGGUUCUCUGGGCAUUACCUGACGCUGAGGAGCGAAAGUGUGGGGAGCGAACAGG